AGGCUCAAGGUCCCAGUGCCUGCUUCUGAGGGUAGCUGCUGGCAGAUGCCACCAGGCCACCAGAGGCUCCGGGGCACAGUGGCCUGCACCCUGACCCCAUCCUUCCAAGCCAGGAGCUGUCAGGGGAGGAGUCUGGGCCCUCAGGGAAGGUCUUCUGCCUGCACGCACCCCUGAGGCAGGGCCACACACAAGACCCGUGGACCCUUGUUCCCUAACUAGCCCAGGGGCACUGACCGUGAGGCUGACACCCUGUACUGCCUUGCGGGAGGAAGUAAGUUGGGUCAUAGAGAAGAAAAAUGGGCCAUGGCUCAUCCUCCGGGAACAGACCUGUGGGUACCCUGGGCUGUUGGUGACGCCCGUCCUCACGAAGAGCGGGAAUGUGCCGCAGCCUGUGCCCUGCGCUCGGCACUGUGUUCUGAGCAGAGCUGGUGUGGCCCCCUCGGGGCUACCAGGGUCCUGGGGCCACAGCUGCCAAGCAUGGGAACUGGUGGGCUCUUCCCGUGCACGGCGGGCAGCAGCGGGACCCGGCUGGGCUUUUGCUGGAGGCAGGAAGGCAGGGGGCGAUGCUGGUCCCCUGGGCUGGGACCCAAACAAACUUGCUCGAGGGAGCUUGGCCUGGAGAGGCUGGGGGGAGGCAGCCGAGUGGGCUGGGGCCAGCGAUGGGGGCCACUGUGCUUGCGAAGUCUGGGACAGGGAUGACCAGUGGAAGCACAGUGAUGGCUCCAGAGUGGCCAGAGGGACCAUGAGUUGGGGGCUGGGGGACUGGGAUGUGGGACCGCACUGGCCGGCUCUGCCCCAGCCCCAGGGGCUGCUGGGACAUCAGAAGAGCAGCAUCUGUUUGGCAGCUACGUUACAACAUGUAUUUAAAAGCAUUGAGGGCGCCUGGGUCGCUCAGUGGGUUAAGCCACUGCCUUCGGCUCAGGUCAUGGUCUCAGGGUCCUGGGAUCGAGUCCCGCAUCGGGCUCUCUGCUCAGCGGGGAGCCUGCUUCUCCCUCUCUCUCUGCCUGCCUCUCUGCCUACUUGUGAUCUCUGUCAAAUAAAUAAAAUCUUAAAAACAAAAAAAAAACAUUGAAAAUAUCUGCUACUGUAAAACCUCCGCGGCCCCGCGAGGCUGGAGUUUAUUGGGAACCACAAGUGGGCGGUGCUGGGGCGUCUUGUGGCCGCUGGACAGCUGCCCAGCCUCUGUGUUCUGCUCAGGGCACUCCCGACGAGAGGCCGGCCUUCGGCGUCCAGGCACCCGGCUCUGUGCCUGCGCACACAGGCGCCCGCGGAUCUGUGCGGCCACCCGCCUGACCCCAGCUCCCUGAGGAAGCAGAGUCCUGGCUUUCAGGAAGGACAGGACGCAAAGGGUCUCUGUAGUAAACUGAAAUGUUAGCAGAAAAGCAGCUGGGCCCUCCCGCGCCGUCCAGGGCUUCGGGGCGGGGCUAGCAGGCGGACUUGGAGUGUCCAAAGAUGCAGACGGGGAAGUGCUUCACGUGGGAGGACCACUGCGCGGCCAGCUGGAAGAACUUCACGUCGCUCCACUCCACGCCGUCGAUGAGGACUGUGAGGACAGGACCGCCUGACCGCCGGCCCACCGUGCCCCGGCUUCCCCCAGGGACCCCAGCUGCCCGGGAGGCACGCGCCGGCCAGUCCUCCCACCGCCAUCCACAGCCCCGCAGCCCCCACAGGGCUGUGCCGGGUCAGACACCCUCCGCUUAAACCGGAAGAGCCACGGAGGAAGGCCGAGCGUUCUCGACCCCGGUGGCCAUCAGACUCAGACUCAUGAAGAGAAAACCGUCUGGGCUCCGUUUUCUGAAUUAACAAGUUGCAGAAAAUCGUCUAUAACAGGUCUAAGAUACAAAAAGCAAUCUUAAAAGAAGGGAAAGGAUUGAGAAGUUCUCUCUCAGAA